AUCUCAUCGACGCGAGGUCGGAUCCUCUGCUCUACCGAGGUAAGAAGGAUCCAUCUAUUUAGGGUUCGGAUGGUUGAUUAAGAUUUGGCUUUUUGUCAUCUUAAGCUCAUUUAUUUGGGAUGCUUCUGCUCCAGCAUGAAGUUUCGCUCAUUUACUUGGUUAUCCAGGGGAUUGUCAGGAAGGUGGUGGUGGAUUCUCAUUUAGUUUAUUGGGGAGAAUAGAUCUCAUCUACCGUGAGGGGAUCUGCAGUUGUAAGUGCUUUUGUUGCUUCUGCUCUUUUCUUCUUCUUCUUCGCUUUUGUAAUUUUUUUCCGUUUUGUCUGGAGAUAUGGAAGGAUCUAAUGAUGUACCGGUCAUCUAGGAUCUAAUGAUGUACCUUGUGUUUUCAUUUCUCAUUGGAGUUGAUUCAUAUUUUCUUUUGUAGUAUAGAAGACGAACAGAUUUGUGUCUCUGAUCCAUUAUAGAUUAAAAGAAGGGUUGGUUCACCCCCCAAAAAAAUAAUGGAUAGGAAAGGAGAUCUCUUCUUCUUCUUCUUCUUCACAGCCCAUCAAAAAUCAUCUCUUUGAUAUUGGGAAACGAAGAUAUCAAGUUUAAGUAUCAGCAAAAGCUUUCUAACAAAAAGCUUUCUUCUUGAAAAUAUCAACCAUUUUUCUUGAAUCUGUACCAUGGUAUUCUCUCUGGUGAAACAGGGUGUGGUUUAUGUUUUCCAGUUAUUUCUUUGAAAUUUUCUGUGAUUGUUUUUCUUCUAUUUGUUCUCU
rnacentral:lncRNA from 1 species